rnacentral:rRNA from 1 species
AGAGUUUGAUCAUGGCUCAGAACGAACGUUAGCGGCGCGCCUAACACAUGCAAGUCGAGCGAGAAAGGGGCAACCCUAGUAAAGCGGCGCACGGGUGAGUAACACGUAGGUAAUCUACCUUCUGGUGGUGGAUAACCUUCCGAAAGGAGGGCUAAUACAGCAUGAGACCACGACCAUCGAAAGAGGAUGGGGUCAAAGUC